rnacentral:rRNA from 1 species
UUAAGCAUAUCAAUAAGCGGAGGAAAAGAAACCAACAGGGAUUGUCUUAGUAACGGCGAGUGAAGCGACAAAAGCUCAAAUUUGAAAUCUGGCACCUUCGGUGUCCGAGUUGUAAUUUGAAGAAGGUAACUUUGGAGUUGGCUCUUGUCUAUGUUCCUUGGAACAGGACGUCACAGAGGGUGAGAAUCCCGUGCGAUGAGAUGUCCAACUCUAUGUAAAGUGCUUUCGAAGAGUCGAGUUGUUUGGGAAUGCAGCUCUAAGUGGGUGGUAAAUUCCAUCUAAAGCUAAAUAUUGGCGAGAGACCGAUAGCGAACAAGUACAGUGAUGGAAAGAUGAAAAGAACUUUGAAAAGAGAGUGAAAAAGUACGUGAAAUUGUUGAAAGGGAAGGGUUUGAGAUCAGACUUGGUAUUUUGUAUGUCUUGCUUUCGGGUGGGGCCUCUGCAGUUUACUGGGCCAGCAUCGGUUUGGACGGUAGGAUAAUGACAUUGGAAUGUGGCAC